rnacentral:lncRNA from 1 species
GAUCAGACAAGCAGCCCGAACAACAAAGCAGCACAGCGGCCGGGACCCUUGGGUUUCGGAGGAGCGAGAGGCGCGCGGAUCCCCGGCCGAGGCCCUGCGCUGCCUGCGGCUGCGGCGCGGGUCGGGCUGGCCUCGGCUCCACCUCCCCGAGGCACCGGGCGACCCCGCAACGGGGCCCAUUUCCCGCAGCUCCGCGCCGCAGCCGCGCGGGUCGCAAGGUCCCGCAGGGGCGCCGCCUCGGGCAGGGGCCGCCACGAAGCCCGUGGGCCGCCGCGAGAUGCGGGGUCCGCGCUUUCCGGGCCCUCCGCAGCCUUCGGGAGGAGCCGGGGGAGGUGCGGGCGCCCAACUCUCGGAGGCCGCCACCCUCCGGAAUGCUCCCGCGCCCGCCCCGCAGAAGUGCGGCGAAACUUUUGGCAGAAACCACCUGUGGCUGCCGACGGGCCCGCCCCGCCCCGGCCCGCCCCGGCCCGCCCCGGCCCGCAGACGCCGCCGCGCCCGGGCCCGCACGCGCCCGCACAAGUUCCCCGCCGCCCCGCGCGCCACUUCGCUCCGGCCGCGGUGCCAGCCAGGAGGCGCGGCGCCCGCUCGCCGGCUCCCCCCUCCUCCCUGCCUCCUCCCCCGCUCCUCCCGCUGCAUGGCGGCCGCCCCGAGCCCCGAAGGGCCGGCGCAGCCCCCAGCCCCCUGCCCCCUGCCCCCGCCGGCGCCCCGGGGCGCGCAGCCCGCCGGCCUCCUAGCACCAGCCCCGGGACGGCGCUCCGGCUGCGGCGGAGGGGAGCCACCCUGCCCCGGGAGCCCCGCGAGCCCCGCGAGCCCCUGCCCCGCCUCGGCCGCCGACGUGCGGCGGAGACCGUGACCCCCACCGCCACUCACCUCUGCGCGCCGCCGGCCCCGCGCGCCUCCCGCACUUGGCGCCGGGCCGCGGUCCUCGCGUCCGCCUCCGCCUCCGCCUCCGCCGCCUCCGCCGCCUCCGCCGCCGCCGCGCUCCGUGCCGCGCUCCGUGCCGCGCUCCGUGCCGCGCUCCGUGCCGCGCUCCGUGCCUGUGCGCCCGAGGAGCGCGGGCCGCGCGCUGUCAGAGUCUCGUGGCGGGGCUGCGCCGGCGGGUGUGGAGCCGAGCGGCGGCGGCGGGCGCGCGGGCAGCUCCUCCCUCCCCGCCGCGCCUCCGCCCUCCUCGCGCCCCGCCUCCCGCGCCGCGGCUGUCAGCUCCGCGCCCCGCGCCCCCCGCGUCCCCCGCGCGCCCCGCGCGCCCCGCGCCCCCCGCGCCCCGCGCGCCCCGCGCGCCCCGCGCCCCCCGCUCCGGGGGCGCACGGGGCGGAAGGGCCCGGAUGUCCCCGGCCGCCUCCCCGGCGCCCCCUCCGCGCCCGCCGCUCUCGCACUUGCUGCGCCCCGACCUCCUCCCCGGCUCCGCGGAAUCCCUCUGUGGACAGAGACUGCAGCGGGGGCGGCGGGGCCCGGGGGCGGGGGCGGGGGCGGCCGGCGGGGCCCGGCGCGGGGGCGGGGUGGGGGCCGGCAGAGCCGCCAUCCGCUGGGGCUUUUUCUCGCUUUCCUUUUUUCUCUUUGCCUCCUCCAGGAUUUAAAGGGACAGCCCCGGCCGAGGCGAGGGGCCGGCGGCCGCCGUUCCCCGGUCUCCAGACGCCCUCUGCGGCCGGCCGGACCCGCCCGCGCCCGGAGCCCGGGCCCCCGACCGCCGACCGCCACCGCCACCGCCACCGCCACCGCCACCGCCACCGCCGGUAUUUUUAG